GGGGCUGACUUGGAUUUCGACAGAUUUCUUGUCGCACAGAUAGCAUGCCAAGUGCUGCUUGUAAAACAGCAACAAAAAUAACUGUAAACAACACAGAUUACGCUCCAGCUUACGCUAAAGUUGCGUGAGUUAAUCUCCUUUUGGAGCUGGACUGAUUAGAAUUUCUAGCGUUUUAAUCACUCCAUAACCUUAAGCUAGACGCUUUUAAAAGGUGGUUCGCCUUUUAAACUAAGAAUAAGAACUCUUGAAACUACCUCAAGGUUUUAGAAAGUUGGACCAGAGCUAGUUUUAAGGCUAAAAAACUAACCAAUUUUCUAAGCAUUGUAGAAGUUUGUGUUUAGGACAAGAUUUUUGGACUGGGGUUCGAUUCCCCACAGCUCCACCA
rnacentral:tmRNA from 1 species